rnacentral:rRNA from 1 species
ACAUGCAAGUCGAGCGGUAACAGGGGGAGCUUGCUCCCCGCUGACGAGCGGCGGACGGGUGAGUAAUGCAUAGGAAACUGCCCAGUAGUGGGGGAUAGCCCGGGGAAACCCGGAUUAAUACCGCAUACGCCCUUUGGGGGAAAGCAGGGGAUCUUCGGACCUUGCGCUAUUGGAUGUGCCUAUGUCGGAUUAGCUAGUUGGUGGGGUAAGAGCCUACCAAGGCGACGAUCCGUAGCUGGUCUGAGAGGAUGAUCAGCCACAUCGGGACUGAGACACGGCCCGAACUCCUACGGGAGGCAGCAGUGGGGAAUAUUGGACAAUGGGGGCAACCCUGAUCCAGCCAUGCCGCGUGUGUGAAGAAGGCUUUCGGGUUGUAAAGCACUUUCAGUGAGGAGGAAAACCUUACGACUAAUACUCGUGAGGCUUGACGUUACUCACAGAAGAAGCACCGGCUAACUCCGUGCCAGCAGCCGCGGUAAUACGGAGGGUGCAAGCGUUAAUCGGAAUUACUGGGCGUAAAGCGCGCGUAGGUGGUUUGAUAAGCGAGAUGUGAAAGCCCCGGGCUCAACCUGGGAACGGCAUUUCGAACUGUCAGGCUAGAGUAUGGUAGAGGAGUGUGGAAUUUCCUGUGUAGCGGUGAAAUGCGUAGAUAUAGGAAGGAACACCAGUGGCGAAGGCGGCACUCUGGACCAAUACUGACACUGAGGUGCGAAAGCGUGGGGGAGCAAACAGGAUUAGAUACCCUGGUAGUCCACGCUGUAAACGAUGUCAACUAGCCGUUGGGACUCUUGAAGUCUUAGUGGCGCAGCUAACGCACUAAGUUGACCGCCUGGGGAGUACGGCCGCAAAGGUUAAAACUCAAAUGAAUUGACGGGGGCCCGCACAAGCGGUGGAGCAUG